rnacentral:rRNA from 1 species
AAACUUUCAACAACGGAUCUCUUGGUUCUGGCAUCGAUGAAGAACGCAGCGAACUGCGAUAAGUAAUGUGACUUGCAGAAUUCAGUGAACCAUCGAAUCUUUGAACGCACAUUGCGCCCGCCAGCAUUCUGGCGGGCAUGCCUGUCCGAGCGUCAUU